UAAGCGGAGGAAAAGAAACCAACAGGGAUUGCCCUAGUAACGGCGAGUGAAGCGGCAACAGCUCAAAUUUGAAAUCUGGCUAUCUUACCGUAGUCCGAGUUGUAAUUUGUAGAGGAUGCUUUUGGUGAGGUGCCUUCCGAGUUCCCUGGAACGGGACGCCAUAGAGGGUGAGAGCCCCGUACGGUUGGAUACCAAGCCUUUGUAUAGCUCCUUCAACGAGUCGAGUAGUUUGGGAAUGCUGCUCUAAAUGGGAGGUAUAUCUCUUCUAAAGCUAAAUAUAGGCUAGAGACCGAUAGCGCACAAGUAGAGUGAUCGAAAGAUGAAAAGCACUUUGAAAAGAGAGUUAAACAGCACGUGAAAUUGUUGAAAGGGAAGCGCCUAUGACCAGACUUGUUUCUGGCAGUUUCGUUAGCCCUCGGGCUGAUUUACUCUGUCCAGUACAGGCCAGCAUCAGUUUGCUGUCGGGGAGAAAGGCUCUGGGAACGUAGCUCCCCCCUUCUGGGGGGGAGUGUUAUAGCCCUCUGCAUAAUACCCUUCGGCAGACUGAGGACCGCGCUUCGGCAAGGAUGCUGGCGUAAUGGUCAUCAGCGACCCGUCUUGAAACACGGACCAAGGAGUCAACCUUAUGUGCGAGUGUUUGGGUGUAAAACCCCAGCGCGUAAUGAAAGUGAACGUAGGUGAGAGCUUCGGCGCAUCAUCGACCGAUUCUGAUGUUUUCGGAUGGAUUUGAGUAAGAGCACACAGGGUUGGACCCGAAAGAAGGUGAACUAUGCUUGUAUAGGGUGAAGCCAGAGGAAACUCUGGUGGAGGCUCGCAGCGGUUCUGACGUGCAAAUCGAUCGUCAAAUAUGAGCAUGGGGGCGAAAG
rnacentral:rRNA from 1 species